rnacentral:rRNA from 1 species
AUACGGAGGAUCCGAGCGUUAUCCGGAUUUAUUGGGUUUAAAGGGUGCGCAGGCGGGAGAUUAAGUCGGCGGUGAAAUUUUGCAGCUCAACUGUAAAAGUGCCUUCGAAACUGGUUUCCUUGAGUGUAGAUGAAGUAGGCGGAAUUUGUGGGGUAGCGGUGAAAUGCAUAGAUAUCACGGGGAACUCCGAUUGCGCAGGCAGCUUACUAAACUACUACUGACGCUCAGGCACGAAGGCGUGGGGAUCAAACAGGAUUAGAUACCCUGGUAGUCCACGCAGUAAACGAUGAUUACUAGCUGUUUGCGAUACAAUGUAAGCGGCUGAGCGAAAGCGUUAAGUAAUCCACCUGGGGAGUACGUUCGCAAGAAUGAAACUCAAAGGAAUUGACGGGG